rnacentral:rRNA from 1 species
CCUACGGGGGGCAGCAGUGGGGAAUAUUGGACAAUGGGGGCAACCCUGAUCCAGCCAUGCCGCGUGUGUGAAGAAGGCCCUCGGGUUGUAAAGCACUUUCAGUGAGGAAGAACGCCUGGUGGUUAAUACCCAUCAGGAAAGACAUCACUCACAGAAGAAGCACCGGCUAACUCCGUGCCAGCAGCCGCGGUAAUACGGAGGGUGCGAGCGUUAAUCGGAAUUACUGGGCGUAAAGCGCGUGUAGGUGGCUUGAUAAGCCGGUUGUGAAAGCCCCGGGCUCAACCUGGGAACGGCAUCCGGAACUGUCAAGCUAGAGUGCAGGAGAGGAAGGUAGAAUUCCCGGUGUAGCGGUGAAAUGCGUAGAGAUCGGGAGGAAUACCAGUGGCGAAGGCGGCCUUCUGGACUGACACUGACACUGAGGUGCGAAAGCGUGGGUAGCAAACAGGAUUAGAUACCCCGGUAGUC